AGUGAACGCUGGCGGCGGGCCUAACACAUGCAAGUCGAACGGCAGCACAGUAAGCUUUUGCCUUUACGGGUGGCGAGUGGCGGAUGGGUGAGGCAUACAUCGGAUACCACUUUUUCGUGGGGGACAACGGAGGGCAACUUAUGCUAACACCGAAUAUGACCUACGGCUGAAAGCAGUGGUUCUUGGCACUUUUCGUGUCUCAUUGAGCUGAUGCCGCAUUAGCUAGUUGGCGGGGUAAAGGCCCACCAAGGCGACGAUCCGUAGCUGGUCUGAGAGGAUGAUCGGCCACACUGGAACUGAGACACGGUCCAGACUCCUACGGGAGGCAGCAGUAGGGAAUAUUGGGCAAUGGGCGAAAGCCUGAUCCAGCAAUGCCGCGCGGGUGAUGAAGGUCUUCGGGUUGUAAAGCCCUUUUGUUGGGAAAGAAAAGAAGUAGAUUAAUACCCCGCUGUUCUGACGGUACCCAAAGAAUAAGCACCGGCUAACUACGUG
rnacentral:rRNA from 1 species